rnacentral:tRNA from 3 species
AAUAAAAUGGCUGAAUUAUAAGCGGUAAAUUGUAAAUUUAUUUAUGGGAAAAUCUCUUUUAUUA